rnacentral:tRNA from 1 species
UGGUAAGUAGUUUAAACAAAACAAAUGAUUUCGACUCAUUAAAUUAUGAUAUUCAUACUAACCAA